UACGUAGGGGGCAAGCGUUGUCCGGAUUUAUUGGGCGUAAAGAGCUCGUAGGUGGUUCGGUAAGUCGGAUGUGAAAUCUCCAGGCUCAACCUGGAGGGGUCAUUCGAUACUGCCGUGACUAGAGUUCGGUAGGGGAGUGUGGAAGUUCCUGGUGGAGCGGUGAAAUGCGCAGAUAUCAGGAGGAACACCCGUAGCGAAGGCGGCACUCUGGGCCGAUACUGACACUGAGGAGCGAAAGCGUGGGGAGCGAACAGG
rnacentral:rRNA from 1 species